rnacentral:sRNA from 1 species
AAAAAAACAACAAAAAAAUAUUAAUAAA